UACGGGGGGGGGCAAGCGUUGUUCGGAAUUACUGGGCGUAAAGGGCUCGUAGGCGGCCAACUAAGUCAGACGUGAAAUCCCUCGGCUUAACCGGGGAACUGCGUCUGAUACUGGAUGGCUAGAGUUUGGGAGAGGGAUGCGGAAUUCCAGGUGUAGCGGUGAAAUGCGUAGAUAUCUGGAGGAACACCGGUGGCGAAGGCGGCAUCCUGGACCAACACUGACGCUGAGGAGCGAAAGCCAGGGGAGCAAACGGGG
rnacentral:rRNA from 1 species